UACGUAGGGGGCGAGCGUUGUCCGGAUUCAUUGGGCGUAAAGAGCUCGUAGGCGGCUUGGUAAGUCGGGUGUGAAAACCUCAGGCUCAACCUGAGGCCUGCACCCGAUACUGCUAUGGCUUGAGUCCGGUAGGGGAGUGUGGAAUUCCCGGUGUAGCGGUCAAAUGCGCAGAUAUCGGGAGGAACACCAGUGGCGAAGGCGGCACUCUGGGCCGGAACUGACGCUGAGGAGCGAAAGCGUGGGGAGCGAACAGG
rnacentral:rRNA from 1 species